CUUCAGAGUUUUUGGUUGAAACACCUUAUUAGUAUUAGGCUGGGGCACAGGGCACAUCUGAACAUGGCAUUUGCAGUUUUUCUCCCACACCAGGUUGUUUUCAGCUGAAUGUAAAUUUAUUUGGGUUUUUUUUUUUUUCUUAGAUUAAAUGCUUUAUAUAUGAGAAUCAUAAAAAAUUAACAGAUUGCCCAGGUCUUUUAGAUUAAUAGUUUUUAUUUUUAUUUUGGAUGUUUGUUUUGUGGUAACAUUUACUGUGUUUUCCUUGCCUCUUGCCUAAUGGUCCCAUCCCUCUCUGUAAAUGUGCAUUUUGCUCUCUCUUCCUCUGGUCCUCUUCUGAUUUGACUGCUUCCCACCUCUUUAGUACCAUAGUAAUUGUUUUGCUUUAUUUUGAUGCCUUUCCACUUUGUGAUGUUCACUUCUCUCAUAGGUUGAGUUCUUUACUAGUUUUCAUUCUUUGCUGCUUUCUCUUGUCUCUUUGUCUUCCUUUCUCUUUCUGUCCCCCCAUGUGCUCUAUAAUGAAAUGUAAGGGUCACGUAUGUAUGUGCUCUGUGCACGGCAGUAAGUAUCCCUGUGUCAUCUGAUUUGCUUCCCUGCCUUUUCUUACAGCUCAAAUGUUUAACAUCUGAACAUCAGCUUUGAGCUAAAGGACAAUAACAAUUUUGCCAGUUGUAUAUACGUUAUCUGUAAAUAUUGUACUGCUCUUCAAAUAAUAAAUCAGAAAGAAAUUUGCUUUCUUUGGGGGGUUAUUGUGUAAAACAAAUGCAAAACUUGUUUUUAGGAUUCAUGAACAAGAAUGAUUAAAGCUCAGUGAUUUUGUGUCCACUAAAAAUAUUACUUUAUCAUGCAAUGAUAUAGUAUAUUACAAUGAAUUUUAUGGUUCUGUUGAAUAAGAAGUAUUACAUUUACCCAUUUCAACUUGCUAAGAGAAGAUUGUACUUUUUAGUAUUUUGGGUAAAAAAGGUAUUUGGCUCAACAAUGUUUGUAGCUAUAUAAAAUGAUGCAACAUUUUGUUACUGAUUUGAAUAACAGUUGCAUUUGUGGGGAAAAUAAGAUUUUUUCACAGUGUCGAGUUAUCAGUUUUAUUGGUAUGACUGCUGGGCUUCAGGCCUUCUCACUCAAUAUCAGUGCCUGACCCCUUGCACCCUUGUGGCUGAAUGGGCAGUUUCCCACAGCCAUGCUUCAAAAUCUAGUGAAAUGACUUCCCAGUAGAGUGAAGGCUGCUGUUGGUGCAAAGGAGGAACAACUCAAUAUUGAUGCCCAUGUGUUUCGAUGCUCAAUACUCAGGUGACAUAUUUAACCAUAUAGUGUAGCUCCUAACCCAAUCCAGUAAUCAGGGUCCAAAGACGGUCCUCAUUUCUGCUUUCUUGUAACCAAGCAAUUGAGCACAUGGAUCAUCCCUGUUCAGAAAAAAUACCCAAUAGAAACCAUAACAGAAAUUCUAAUAGUUUCCACCACAAAUACCAUUAACAAAUAGUGUAUUUUGGGCCUUAUUCUAUUGGGAUUUAAUAUUUGUAUUGGUUUCUACUAGACAUAAACAUACCACCAAUAGAACCCAACACAUUACCAGUAGAGACCCACAAGGACCAUUAUAGUUUCCAUGGUUUCUUUUGGGUUUUGUUGUUGUUUUGUUUGUUUUUUUAAGCAAACACUUCAAACAUUUUUAUUCUGUUACAAAUCCUUUAAAAGAUUUUUCCUGCAGAAAUCCUGUGUCAAUGAUCAGGCACUGGCUUCUCUUGGGUGGUAGUUCUCAGAUGGGACAAAAAAAAUUAAAUGAACUUUUUGUAUAUAAUUUUAUAAUAAGAAAUAUUACUAAGCCAUUUGCCUAAUUUCAUUUUUAUAUGAGGGAAAACUUAUUUCACCUCAAAAUAUCUGCUUCAUGAUGUGAUCACUGUUCUAAAUAUGAGAUUCUUCAUAUUCAAGUAAUUAUAACUCCAUUCUUGUUGCUGUACAGCAGGUUAGAAUUGAGAAUAAAGACUAUUUCUAGUCUCUAAUUUUACCAGAUUAUCAAACCCAAGCCUCUUAUUUAUGUUAUGUAGUGAAUGGGAGUGGUUACUGUCCUCUAGUGUACCAAC
ensembl:lncRNA